UUGUUACUCCCUCUAUUCCAAAUUACUUGUCACAAAAAUGGAUGUAUCUAGAACUAAAAUACAUCUAGAUACAUCCAUUUCUGCGACGAGUAAUUUAAAACGGAGGGAGUAUUUG
rnacentral:pre_miRNA from 1 species